rnacentral:rRNA from 1 species
GACGAACGCUGGCGGCGUGCUUAACACAUGCAAGUCGAACGAAGAGCGAUGGCAGCUUUCGUCUGUCAAUCUUAGUAGCGAACGAGUAAGUAACGAGUAAUCAACCUGCCCUUCAGGGGGGGACACCAGUAGGAAACGACUGCUAAUACCACAUACGCUCUCAUCUCGGCAUCGGGGGUAGAUGAACGGUGGCCUCGACAUGUAUGCUGUCACUGCAGCUGGGGGGUGCGGCUGAUGCGGUCGUUGGCGGGGUCAUGUCCCAUCACGGCGAGGGUCAGGAGCCGGUCGGAGAGGAGGAACGGCCCCAUUGGGACGGGGACACGGCCCAGACGCCUAAGGGAGGCAGCAGUGGGGAAUCUGGCGCAAUGGACGAAAGUCUGACGAAGCAAGGCCGCGUGAGUGAUGACGGCCUUCGGGUUGUAAAGCGCGGUUAUUCGGGACGAAAGGCCUUUUUGCGAAUAGUGAGAAGGAUUGACGGUACCGGAAUAGAAAGCCACGGCUAACUACGUG